AGCUCUGCGCAGUAGCAGUAUCAUUGCCAAUGGGGUUUAUCUGAGGAGCGAUCAUUGCUAAUUGAAAACUUUAUUGUUCAUUCUGGC
rnacentral:snRNA from 1 species